UGGGGAAUUUUGCACAAUGGGGGAAACCCUGAUGCAGCGACGCCGCGUGAUUUAGAAGGCCUUCGGGUUGUAAAAAUCUUUUUUACGGGAUGAAAAUGACAGUACCGUAAGAAUAAGGUCCGGCUAAAUACGUGCCAGCAGCCGCGGUAAUACGUAUGGAGCGAGCGUUGUCCGGAAUCAUUGGGCGUAAAGGGUACGUAGGCGGCCUAGUAAGUUAGAAGUGAAAUAAUAUAGCUCAACUAUAUAAAGCUUUUAAAACUGCUAGGCUUGAGAGAUGGAAGGGAAAGUGGAAUUCCUAGUGUAGCGGUGAAAUGCGCAGAUAUUAGGAGGAAUAACGGUGGAGAAGGCGACUUUCUGGUCAGCAUCUGACGCUGAGGUACGAAAGAGUGGGUAGCAAACAGG
rnacentral:rRNA from 1 species